UUCCGGAUCAAGAACAGAGACUCUGCCCUCCGUGUUCACAGCGGACCUUGAUUUAAUGUCAUACAAUUAAGGCACGCGGUGAAUGCCAAGAGCGGAGCCUAAGGCUGCACCUAGAGAAC
rnacentral:precursor_RNA from 13 species